GACGAACGCUGGCGGCGUGCUUAACACAUGCAAGUCGAACGGAAAGGCCCUGAUUUUGUGGGGUGCUCGAGUGGCGAACGGGUGAGUAACACGUGAGUAACCUGCCCUUGACUUUGGGAUAACUUCAGGAAACUGGGGCUAAUACCGGAUAGGAGCUCCUGCUGCAUGGUGGGGGUUGGAAAGUUUCGGCGGUUGGGGAUGGACUCGCGGCUUAUCAGCUUGUUGGUGGGGUAGUGGCUUACCAAGGCUUUGACGGGUAGACGGCCUGAGAGGGUGACCGGCCACAUUUAUACUGAGAUACGCCCCAGACUCCUACUGGACCCAGCAGUGCGGAAUAUUGCACAAUGGACGGAAGCCUGAUGCAGCAACUCCACGUGCGGGAUGACGGCCUUCGGGUUGUAAACCGCUUUCGCCUGUGACGAAGCGUCAGUAACGGUAAUAGGUAAAGAAGCACCGGCUAACUACGUG
rnacentral:rRNA from 1 species